CGUGCUGCUAAGUUUGGGGGGAGGGUGUUGCGGGGGCUUGCUUCGUCCUCUCCAGUUAUCAGCCCCUCAUUCGCUCCAUCACCUAAAGUGUUAAAAAAAAAAAAAAAGGCUCUUGGGUCCCACCGUAAGAGCGCAUAAAGAGAGGAGGUACAAUGACCGUCCUUUGCCAUUGUAGGGCUCCCUAAUUUAUGCGUUUUUAGACCCUUAAGCAUCAUUUUGUGGGCAACCAAACGGGCACUUCCAAAUUAGCUCAAAGUAUCCAAGCCCAGAGAAGAGAGAAAACACACAUACACUGAUAAAUACGCAGAUGCUAACUUUAAAUAUCUCUGACUUAAGUUUAUUCUCCCAUCACUACCGUGAUCAAAAAGAAGAGAAAGACAAAAUAUCAAAACUUCCAAAUAUUUCUAGUUGUUCGCAACGGGUCUUUUUGUUGUUGUUGGAAAAAUAUAACCUGUUCAAGCGAUAUGAAAAUGGAUGCAGAAAUCAGGUCUUUUAUGAACUUGAAACACAUCGGCUAGGUCUUCAUCCUCACCUGCACUGGAAUUACCUACUUAAGAAAAACAAACUAAUGAUACACAAAGAAGCACUUAUAAAUUACAUAUCUUCAUGCCGGAAACACUAUUUGGAUGCGUGUGGAUGAUUCUGAAAAUUGAUAUAGUCUGAAGGAUGUAUAUGUACAUUUAUAUAUAGA
rnacentral:lncRNA from 1 species